AUUGUGACAGAAAAGCUUAUUUUAGAUUUAAUUUAGUAUCGGUGUAUUGGGUAUAAUGACACUGAAUCAGGUUUUGUAGAAAACCCAAGAGAGGACUACGCACUCCCCUUCCCAGAAAAUUUAAUUUGGACCAGACUCAAAAACCGAUAGAACCUCGUGGACUUGUUUACAUUGGAUGGCAAAGAUGGGCCACCGCCACGGGGCUGUCUAUUCAUUAAUUUCUAGCAGAUUUUGGUCUAAAUUAGUGAUAUGCAUUUCAUACUGCUCGCUUUCAAAGAAAGUCUCGUGCGGCCAUAAGAAACGUGAUAGCCAGUGGAAAGGCAUUCACUCACUCAGAGGAGUCGAAGCAAUUUCAAAUGUUCAAGCCUUCAACUUUUGAAGUUUAAUGCUUUUUUUUUUUAUCUGAAAAGUAGGCUGUUUAUUAUUUAUUUGUUUAUGUAACAAGGUCCCCGUGUUCCCUGCUGGGGAGAUCAUUUGUUUUCUGUGCAAGUAGAGAGGGAAAAAUCCCCAAGUAUAACAAGAGACGAACAGUUAGUGCUGAUUUUCAUUUGCAUAAAUUUUCAUAUAUUUUAGUGAAAAUAAUAGCGGUGCAGAGGAGAGCUCCGCUCAGUUGAGUCAGAGGGAAGAAAAUCUUAGGAAGGACCGAAACGGAGGAAGAGAGUCGGUCACUGAUGGACGAACAAUGCAGUAUUUCAGACAUUUUUCCAGUUAUCGUGGAAUCUUACGGAGAGGAACUUCAACUCUCCCACCUUCCCUCCCUUCUCCAGGGAGAGGGGCCUCCAUCCACAUUGGACUCAGACUCAAUGUGCUGCAGAGGGACAGAGUGGCCACGCUGUGAGCGGAGACACACACACACACACACACACACACAGAGAGAGAGAGAGAUCUCACUGCUUCCGUUUUCAGCUUACACUGCUGCUGGAGCUGUUAGCCUGCCGGCUAUUUUUCUUUGAGAGACUAUAAAAAUAUGCAAAUGCUGUUGUUAAAGAGAACAGUCAAAUGUUUUUCUUCUUCUGUGUUUGCACCUUGUGAGUCUGCAGAGCAAAAUGCGUAAGGAUUUCACUUUUGUCCCUCACUUUUUUUUAUAGAAAGACAGGAAAAAUUAAAGGAGAGCAUCAGCGACAGACACAUCAUAAACAUGUUUGAAAUGACCAAGCAGAUAGGGAAGAAUAAAAUAAAUCUUACAAAUAUCCUGCUUCACUUGAACUGUAUCUGCAGAGUGAGCGAAUUUUAAAAUGCUUUCCUUUUCUUUACCUCUCAUCAUGGCGGACAGGCCUUAAACACAGAGCAUCAACUGCUUUAAGAGUGAAGGGAAAGUACAGGGCGAAUUUGUAAACCCCUCACGGUGCCGCGAACACUUUUUGAAGUGAUUAUGAAGACAGUUCAGAUCAAAGGCUUUGACAACUCUGAGUGCCCGCCAAGACUGAGCCCCUGUAAUCGCACAGAGCCCUCCGUACAACACAGCGCACACCCCUCAAGCACCCGGCAGAACGCAACGCCACACUCACGCAUAAACAGAUUAUCAGGGGACAGAAAACGGCUGGAAAGUAAAUAUGGGAUUAGAGUUUUCAGACUGAACUGCACCGAUAUAACCGAGGAGAUUAGCGAAACAUUUACAGGUAGAUAUUAAUUAUCGGCAUCACAGGAAGAAGAGGGAAAAAUAGUGAAUUAAAAACUCCAUGCAUAUGUUAUAAUAUAAAUAUCCUCAUUAUAUUUAAUAUUUUCCAUUGCAUUCAACAUAUCACAUGUAUUAAAUUAACUGCCAUAAUUUUCUAAAUCCUUUACAAAGAAACCAUAAGAGGCAGGAAAAAAGAGAGGGAGAAAAGGAGAGCGGGCAUAAAAAGUGCUUUGUUGAAGUCAACAAACUCUUAUAUUUUUAUAUAAUUAUGUGCUCUGCUGCGCGUAACUGCUAGGCAGCAUUGUAACAAAUGUCCAUCAUUGGCUCCAUUAGCCCUGAAGACAGACGGCCAAUACAUUUAGCUCAGUAUUUUGCUAACACUAUAAGAAAACACAAUGGCACCAAACAAAACAACAACAUUUAUAGUGAUUUUAUUAUCUAAGCAUCCAAGCUGUAUCGUAGAAUUUGAAAAAUAUAUUUUGUCACGCACAUAUGCACACACACUGUAAGUCAUGUGGUAAUAUGUUAACAGGCUGCCAUCUUGAACCUGCUCAUCAUGUUGUGGUUUGGUCAUUUAACUGAAAGUUUUGCUUUUGUCAGUGUAUUUACUGUUUUGUGGUACCGCACUGGUGCUGAUGUGAAACAAUAAAAUGUGUGUGACAGCAA